rnacentral:tRNA from 1 species
GGAACGGUGGCUGAGUGGUUUAAGGCGCGCGUUUUGAAAACGUGUGAACCUCAUUGGUUCCGUAGGUUCGAAUCCUACUCGUUCCG